GUGGGCGGGCUCUCUCCGCAAGCUCCCGCCACUUGCAACUAAAUGCUGGAACAGUUUGUUGCCCUCAGGAACAAAUUUGAUCAGGAGAAGUUUAAAGGACCCCCUGGUUCCUGCGGAGAACAGGUCACACGUCAGGGCUAAAUCUCAGUGGACAACUCGUGUCGGCCUUCAGCGGAGAUGCUAGCGGUGUACAUAGGUUCACGCCUGUCACCAGCACUCACCCUGUUCAUCAACUAAGCACUGCACACACUCAAAGGGCUGUGUGAGGGUCUCUGGUUUACCCAGCAUGUUUGGGCCUGGCAGCUCUGGAGUGCAUAAAUGUGUGAAUAUGCG